rnacentral:snoRNA from 2 species
GCUGAUGAUGAUUUGCCUAAUGUGUGAGGUGUAGACAGCUCCAAGUCCCUGCGUGCCAGGGAGAACCUACUUGGAGUCCUACAUUCAAAUGAAAAUUUAUGGGCAUUUUCUGAGGU